rnacentral:rRNA from 1 species
CCCUUAGAUGUUCUGGGCCGCACGCGCGUUACAAUGAAUCGUUCAACAGGUUUCUUCCUGAGUCGAAAGGCUUGGGUAAUCCUUUAAAUACGGUUCGUGCUAGGGAUAGAUUUUUGCAAUUAUUAAUCUUGAACGAGGAAUAUUUAGUAAACGCAGGUCAUCAGCCUGCAUUGAUUACGUCCCUGCCCUUUGUACACACCGCCCGUCGCACCAACCGAUUGGAUGUUUUGUUGAAAUAUGUGGAUGCUUGCUGGGUGAAUUCAUUUUUGCUUGAUAGACAGAAACGUAUUAAAACUGAAUAUCUAGAGGAUGGUGAAGUCGUAACA